rnacentral:lncRNA from 1 species
GGGAGAGUGUCAGUUGGAAGAUUCACCUGGUAAAAUGGGAGAAGACAGGCAAACUGAACCUGAGCACAGGUAUCUCUGGAUAAAAUGGCUAAGGGUCCUGGAAUGCCUACUGCACAACCAAUGUGUUAGCCAGUGUUACAGCCUGGUACAUCUAUCAAGAAACCCAUGUCCCAGAUGGAGGUAGAUGCAUGGAGCUUUCACAGGGCAGACGGGGGAGAGGCCCUUAACAAUAAGCAACAGACACUGUUUAAAUUUGGCAUUUAACUCAGCCAAGAACAUAUGUACAUAAAGUUUAUCCCAGCCAGAUUAAACUCCUGAAGUCCUGCGGCACCAGUGCUCAGCAAGAUUGAUCACUGACUGAAACUUAGUUACUGACAUUGAAGAAGAACGAAGCAACAUGGAAUAAGCACUGAAGAAUCUAAUGGAUUUCAUACUUUGUUCUUUUCCUCAUGUUCCUGGGGAUGGAAUUCAAGCCUCAGGUAUGCUGCUCUCACACCACUCUGACCCUGAGGUACACCCAAG